rnacentral:misc_RNA from 1 species
UUAACUAUUAUAUAGUACUCAGACGACACUAACAAACAGAGUUUGGGGUCCUCUGGCGGGCACGGACCAGCCGAAGCCGGUGGUCCGAAGACGGGCCCGCCAAAGCAACAAAGGUAUGAUAAACAAAGGGUGGGAGGUAUACCCCGAAGGGCAACGUCUCUUUAAUGAUCCUUCCGCAGGUUCACCUACGGAAA